UGCAUAUAUAUACCGCUAACAACAUUACAACGGUCUAUAGCACUGAACGAAUAAACAUAAAAAUUGAAUUUUGAAACUUCUCAGUUCUCAUUCUCAUAGAAUUCCGUUUCCACGUGAAAGGGUUUCAGACGAGUUUCUCUUUCCCCUUUCAAAGUUUUCGAUUCUUUUCCCCAAUUUUCACAAUGACGAGUUUCUCAGAAGAACAAACCAAAAACUUCAAGCUUCAAGGUUAGUCUUUUUUUUAAUUUACGAAUCUAGGGUUUUUGUCUUUCGUGUAUUUCGUUUUUUCACUUGUCUUCCUUUGUUAAUUCGAAUUUGUCUUAGGUUACAUUUCAAAUUUUAUUAAUCAAUUUAGGAAAUUAGGGUUUAUAUUUCUAUAAUACUGUUGAAUUGUUUUGCACCUCAGGUUUAGUAUUUGAUUAAGGAAAAUAAUUUGUCUUAGGUUACAUUUCAAAUUUUAUUAAUCAAUUUAGGAAAUUAGGGUUUAUAUUUCUCGUUCCUCAUUCUUUCAAGUAAGUGAGUAAAUCAAACCCUAACAUCUCUUUACAAUUUGAAUUCACUUUUUACAUAAUAAUAAUAAUUGAUUCUCCAUCAUAUGUGAAUUCCAUUUGAGUUAUUGAGUAUUUGAUCUUUUUAAUUGUGUAACACCAUGAAUCAUCACCAUUGUUUUGAAUAUAAUUAAUUACUCUUGUUUUAUUCAAUGUGUAACAGCAUCAUAGUAUCCACAACUCAUUGUCAUAAGAUUAUACAAUAUGGCGAAAUAUAAUGAUCCCCUGCGUAAAAUAUGUUUCAAAAGUGUAUAGCUAUUUAACUCUUAAUUUAAUUGGCAGAACAAUGAUAAAUUAGAAGGAUUAUAUUAUGCCCUGAUGACUUUAAAUGAAAAAUGAUAAUUCAUGAAAUCCAUAACUACGGAAAAAGAGUUGGAAUUUUUAUCUAAAAAGUGGCUUAGUUUUAUUCAUAUGAAGCUAGCAUGAUAUGAAUGGCUAUUGAUGGUUUAAAUAAUAUGCAUAUUUAUUCUGGAAAUGCAUGUAAAGAUGACCCUUACUGGAAUGACAAUUAGUCAUUCAAAGUUUUAACAAAGAAGAUAAAUUUAGAUCCAUGUUACUAUAUUUCGAUGACAUUGAAAAUGGAUAAUAGGAUGGACUCAAAUGUUUGUCUUUUAUUGACAAACAUACUCUGUUUUGAUUGAACUUUAAUGAAUAUGUAGUUCUUUCAAACAUAUUCAUAACAUGACAUUUAUGAAAUGACGACCAUAAUGGAAUGAAAAUAUAAACAUGAUAAAUCGAGAUGAUGGUAUUGAAUGCAAAAUUUAGUAUUUAAGCCAAUAUGGUUGUACUAUAUUGUGAUUCAAUGAUCGUUGAUUGAAAAAUGUGCUAUUUGAACUUAUACGGUUCUAAAUUCGAUAAAAUGGAAUGAUGAUGGUAUUGUCCCUGAAUAAUAUUGGAUGCGAAAUUAGAUGGUUGGAUCUACAAAUUGAAUUGAUGGCAUCAUAUCUUGAAAUGAUUGCUGGUUUAUAAUUGAAUCGCGGUAUCGUGUCUUAAAAUGAUACUCGUAUGGAAUCGAAUUGACAAUAUUGUAUCUUAUAAUUUGAAAUUUCAUAUUUGAGCUUAUAUGAUUAAAUUGAGAUGAUGAUAUAGAAUGCAAAAUUUAUUAUUUGAGCUUGCCUGAUUAGAUUGUAUUGUGCCUCAAUAAUCCUUGGUUGGAAAAUGUUAUUUGAACCUAUACGGUUCUAAAUUCGAUAAAAUGGAAGUAUGAUUGUAUUGUCCCUAAAUAAUAUUGGAUGUGAAAUUUGAUGGUUAGAUUUACAAAUUUAUUUAAUAGUAUCAUGUCUUGAAAUGAUGGCUGGUUUGUAAUUGAAUAUACGAGAUCAUGUCUUAAAAGAUACUUGAAUCGAAUUGACGGCAUCGUGUCUUAAAAUGGUACUCGUAUCGUUUCCAAUUGACGGUAUCAUGUUGGCUCGGAUGAAAUUGAAUUGACGGUAUUGGUGGAUGAUAUGUAAUUGAAUGGAAGGUAUCAUGUUGGCUCGUAUGAAAUUGAAUUGACGGUAUCAAGUCUUAAAACGAUGAAUAUUUAUUCAUAAGUUGAAAUGCAUGUAAUAAUGACCCUUACUGGAAUGACAAUUACUAGUCAUUCAAAGUUUUAAUAAAGAAAAAUUAAGAUGAUGAUAUUGAAUGCAAAAUAUAAUAUUUUGAGCUUCCAUGGUUGGAUUGUAUUGUGGCCCAUUGAUCCUUGAUUGAAAAUUAUUAUAUUUGAACCUAUACGGUUAUAAAUUCGAUAAAAUGAGAGUAUGAUUCUAUUAUCACUGAAUAAGAUUGGAUGCAAAAUUUGAUGGUUGGAUUUACAAAUUGAAUUGAUGGUAUCAUGUAUUGAAAUGAUGGCUGGUUUGUAAUUGAAUUGACGGUAUCAUGUCUUAAAUUGACACUUGCAUGGAAUUGAAUUGACGGCAUCAUGUCUUAAAAUGGUGGCUCGUAUGAAAUUAAAUUGACAGUUUAUGGAAGCUGGUAUGUAAUUGAAUUGAAAAUAUUAUGUCUUGAAAUGGUGGCAAGAAAGUAAUGGAAUUGACAGAUUCAUGUCGGCUCGUAUGAAAUUGAAUUAGCGGUAUUGUGUAUUGAAAUGGUAGCCUAUAUGUAAUUGAAUUGACGGAAUCGUGUUGGCUCGUAUGAAAUUGAAUUAAAGGUAUUGUUUCUUGAAAUGGUUGCUGAUAUGUAAUUGAUUUCACUGUAUCGUGUCGGCUCAAAUGAAAUUGAAUUGACAGUAUUGUGUCUUAAAAUGGUGGCUAAUAUGAAAUUGAAUUGACGGUAUCGUUUUUAAAACAAAAGCUCGUGAAAUUGAAUUGACGGAAUCUGUCUUAAAAUUAUGACUCACGAGUUUGAUUUCUUUAAUCAAUUGUUCAUCUCUCUCUUUCCGAAGCGACAUACGAUUAAAAGAGUGAGAUGAAAUUCGAGUAGAAGAAAUCGAAGUCUCUUUACUUGGAUUUUCUAUAAAUCUUCCGUCCUCUUAAGGAACGUAAUUGAAUUGACGGAUUCAUGUCGGCUCGGAUGAAAUUGAAUUGACGGCAUUGUGUAUUGAAAUCAUAGCCGCCGAUAUGUAAUUGAAUUGACGGAAUCGUGUUGGCUCAUAUGAAAUUGAAUUAACGGUAUUGUUUCUUGAAAUGGUUGCUGAUAUGUAAUUGAUUUGACUGUAUCGUGUCGGCUCAAAUGAAAUUGAAUUGAGAGUAUCAUGUCUUAAAGUGGUGGCUAGUAUGAAAUUGAAUUGACGGUAUCGUUUCGUUUUUAAAACGAAAGCUCAUGAAAUUGAAUUGAUGGUAUCUGUCUUAAAAUUAUGGCUCGUAUGAGUUUGAUUUCUGUAAUCAAUUGUUCAUCUCUCUCUUUCCGAAGCGACAUGCGAUUAAAAGAAUGAGAUGAAAUUCUGAGUAGAAAAAAUCUAAGUCUCUUUACUUGGAUUUUCUAUAAAUCUACCGUCCUCUUAAGGAACGUAAUUGAAUUGACGGAUUCAUGCCGGUUCGUUUGAAAUUGAAUUAGCGGUAUUGUGUAUUGAAAUGGUAGCCGAUAUGUAAUUGAAUUGACGGAAUCGUGUUGGCUCGUAUGAAAUUGAAUUAAAGGUAUUGUUUCUUGAAAUGGUUGCUGAUAUGUAAUUGAUUUCACUGUAUCAUAUGAAAUUAAAUUGACAGUUUAUGAAAGCUGGUAUGUAAUUGAAUUGACAGUAUUAUGUCUUGAAAUGGUGGCAAGAAAGUAAUGGAAUUGACGGAUUCAUGUCGGCUCAUAUGAAAUUGAAUUAGCGGUAUUGUGUAUUGAAAUGGUAGCCGAUAUGUAAUUGAAUUGACGGAAUCGUGUUGGCUCGUAUGAAAUUGAAUUAAAGGUAUUGUUUCUUGAAAUGGUAGCUGAUCUGUAAUUGAUUUGACUGUAUCGUGUCGGCUCGAAUGAUAUUGAAUUGAGAGUAUCUUGUCUUAAUUUACUUCAAGUUUAUCUGAUAAUUUGUUUGAUAUUUUGAUGCUAAAUUUCAUAUUUGAGUUUAUAUGAUUUGAAUUUAAUCAAUUGAUGCAAUGAAUGAUAUUGUGCUUUGAAGACAGUUAAAAUGGAAAAUAGGAUGGACUAGAAUAUUUGUCUUUUA